GAUGAAGAACGUAGCGAAAUGCGAUAAGUAAUGUGAAUUGCAGAAUUCAGUGAAUCAUCGAAUCUUUGAACGCACAUUGCGCCCGCCAGCAUUCUGGCGGGCAUGCCUGUUCGAGCGUCAUUUCAACCCUCAAGCUCUGCUUGGUGUUGGGGCCCUACGGUUGACGUAGGCCCUUAAAGGUAGUGGCGGACCCUCUCGGAGCCUCCUUUGCGUAGUAACUAACGUCUCGCAUUGGGAUUCGGAGGGACUCUUGCCGUAAAACCCCCAAAUUUUCUAAUGGUUGACCUCGGAUCAGGUAGGAAUACCCGCUGAACUUAAGCAUAUCAAUCAGCGGAGGA
rnacentral:misc_RNA from 1 species